UCCUACGGGAGGCAGCAGUAGGGAAUCUUCCGCAAUGGACGAAAGUCUGACGGAGCAACGCCGCGUGAGUGAUGAAGGCUUUCGGGUCGUAAAACUCUGUUGUUAGGGAAGAACAAGUGCUAGUUGAAUAAGCUGGCACCUUGACGGUACCUAACCAGAGGGCCACGGCUAACUACGUGCCAGCAGCCGCGGUAAU
rnacentral:rRNA from 1 species